rnacentral:rRNA from 1 species
AAGAAGUCCCGGCAAACUCCGUGCCAGCAGCCGCGGUAAUACGGAGGGGGCAAGCGUUGUUCGGAAUUAUUGGGCGUAAAGGGCAUGUAGGCGGUUUGGUAAGUUAAAGGUGAAAUACCAGGGCUUAACCCUGGGGCUGCUUUUAAUACUGCAGGACUAGAGUCCGGAAGAGGAUAGCGGAAUUCCUAGUGUAGAGGUGAAAUUCGUAGAUAUUAGGAGGAACACCAGUGGCGAAGGCGGCUGUCUGGUCCGGUACUGACGCUGAGGUGCGAAAGCGUGGGGAGCAAACAGGAUUA